AACGAACGCUGGCGGCAGGCCUAACACAUGCAAGUCGAGCGGACCCUUCGGGGUUAGCGGCGGACGGGUGAGUAACGCGUGGGAAUAUUCCCUUCUCUACGGAAUAGUCCUGGGAAACUGGGGGUAAUACCGUAUACGCCCUUUGGGGGAAAGAUUUAUCGGGGAAGGAUUAGCCCGCGUUGGAUUAGGUAGUUGGUGGGGUAAUGGCCUACCAAGCCGACGAUCCAUAGCUGGUUUGAGAGGAUGAUCAGCCACACUGGGACUGAGACACGGCCCAGACUCCUACGGGAGGCAGCAGUGGGGAAUCUUAGACAAUGGGGGCAACCCUGAUCUAGCCAUGCCGCGUGAGUGAUGAAGGCCUUAGGGUUGUAAAGCUCUUUCAGCUGGGAAGAUAAUGACGGUACCAGCAGAAGAAGCCCCGGCUAACUCCGUG
rnacentral:rRNA from 1 species